rnacentral:misc_RNA from 1 species
GAUGAAGAACGUAGCGAAAUGCGAUAAGUAGUGUGAAUUGCAGACUUUAGUGAAUCAUCGAAUCUUUGAACGCACAUUGCGCCCCUUGGUAUUCCAUUGGGCAUGCCUGUUCGAGCGUCAUUUACACCCUCAAGCUCACGCUUGGUGUUGGGCCCCGCCGCCCCGGCGGGCCCUAAAGUCAGUGGCGGUGCCGUCCGGCUCCGAGCGUAGUAAUUCUUCUCGCUCUGGAGGUCCGGUCGUGUGCUCGCCAGCAACCCCCAAUUUUUUUCAGGUUGACCUCGGAUCAGGUAGGGAUACCCGCUGAACUUAAGCAUAUCAAUAAGCGGAGGA